AAUGGUUAGAAAUAUUUUUACUUUUUGUCAAUUUUUCUUAACCAUCACACUCUUUCCCUAAAUUUUCUGAGAUGUUAAGCGUUUAUGUUCGGUUUUAAGAUGCAUCAAUCGCAACCACAACUCAUUUACCUUCAAUGGAAUGGGAGAACGAUCCCGAUUUCAACAGCGAUGAUGUCGAUGCCGUUUCCCUUUUUCCCAACGACGAUAAUGACGACUUCGUUGGAUCCCUCCCCUUCUCGAUCCUCCAUAUUCUGCCAUUCGACUUCGUCUUCCCUGACUUCGUUGCCACUAACGCAUCUGCGCCUGGCCACUCAAUCAUUUAUCAUAUUGUUUUUCAGCUGGUCGUCAUUUUCAGUGCAGAAGAAGUUCGCGGUCGCAACUGACUUGAAGGAAUAUAUGGAAAUACUUAGUGAGUGACUCUGGGAUUACAUUCAAUGAACAAAAAGAAAUGAAAGCAUUGCAAAUUGCUGGAAAAGGCUAGGGAUGCUACUCUUAGUUGGAAAUUUGAUCAGGUACGUGUCAACCUUCCAAAUAGUGACAUGGUAGGGAUAUACAGGUGGCAGAUACACAAAUGAUAUGAGUAUUGAACAUGAAAUGUAUCGAUACAAAGAUUCGUCUCAUCUUAAAACCUAUAUCUGAUUUUGUAUUAAAAUUAUAUGUUUUAUU